CCCACAUUAUCAUGUAUAGAACAACUCUGUAUGGGAUAAAAAGGUUUUGGAACUGGAAAAAAGUUUUGAUUCAUUUUUUUAAUGUAGAAUUAUCAUUAAAUUAGUUUUUUCCUUUAGGUAUAUUUAUAUCUUACUUUAUCCAUAUAAUAACAAUACUGAGUAUACAGUUCCUUCUCUAUCCAUAUAGUAACAGUAUGAAGUAUACAGUUUCCAUGUACUCCCAUCAGGACUGUUCCAGAUUGACAUUUUAUAAUGAGAUGUAUUCAUAUGUAUUUUAACACGUGAGGUUAAACUAGCUUUUUUUAUAAAGACUAUGGUCAGUUGUCGAUUAAUCUUUUCUCCCUACCCCUUUCCUAUAUUUUCUGUUCGGCCACCCACUCAUUACAAGUAUUGUUUCCGAACUAUAUCGGACUUCCUUGAAGUGGAACGCAUGCGCCACUAUGAGACUCCGUCACGCACGGGACACAAUGACAUCAGAAGGACAAAAGUGGGAAGUAAUCACGGUUAGAUAGCGAUCAGCCGGAGAAGGACAAAAGUGUC